rnacentral:rRNA from 1 species
GAUGAACGCUGGCGGCGUGCCUAAUACAUGCAAGUCGAGCGAACAGACGAGGAGCUUGCUCCUCUGACGUUAGCGGCGGACGGGUGAGUAACACGUGGAUAACCUACCUAUAAGACUGGGAUAACUUCGGGAAACCGGAGCUAAUACCGGAUAAUAUAUUGAACCGCAUGGUUCAAUAGUGAAAGACGGUUUUGCUGUUACUUAUAGAUGGAUCCGCGCCGCAUUAGCUAGUUGGUAAGGUAACGGCUUACCAAGGCGACGAUGCGUAGCCGACCUGAGAGGGUGAUCAGCCACACUGGAACUGAGACACGGUCCAGACUCCUACGGGAGGCAGCAGUAGGGAAUCUUGCGCAAUGGGCGAAAGCCUGACCGAGCAACGCCGCGUGAGUGAUGAAGGUCUUCGGGUCGUAAAACUCUGUUAUUAGGAAAGAACAAAUGUGUAAGUAACUAUGCACGUCUUGACGGUACCUAAACAGAAAGCAACGGCUAACUACGUG